rnacentral:rRNA from 1 species
UACGAAGGGGGCUAGCGUUGUUCGGAAUUACUGGGCGUAAAGCGCACGUAGGCGGAUAUUUAAGUCAGGGGUGAAAUCCCAGAGCUCAACUCUGGAACUGCCUUUGAUACUGGGUAUCUAGAGUAUGGAAGAGGUGAGUGGAAUUCCGAGUGUAGAGGUGAAAUUCGUAGAUAUUCGGAGGAACACCAGUGGCGAAGGCGGCUCACUGGUCCAUUACUGACGCUGAGAAGCGAAAGCAUGGGGAGCGAACAGG